rnacentral:lncRNA from 1 species
GGUUUUGGCUUUGUUACUUUUACGGACUAUGACGCUGGCAAUGAUGCAAUCGAUGAUAUGGAUCAGUGGGAGUUGCAUGGUCGAACGAUAAGUGUGUGUUGGGCCAACAAAAGACCAUGACGUGGUGGCCUUCCUCGUAGAAGGAAGCUACAGGGACAUUGACGAGUGUUUGAAUCUGCUAUAUUAUGCAGGCGUUUAUUUUCCGAAUGUUGAAUCUGCAAUAUGCAAACUUUAUUUAUGCCUGUAACCUGUAAGCUACAGAGACAAUUAGUGUUCUUGGGGUUAACAGGAUAUAAUGAUUGGUUCCUUUUCG